UGAGGAAACAUGACUUUCGGCGGGGGAUAGCCGGCCCAACGGCCGGGUAAUAUCGCGUACGACCUUUUGGGGACAUCCCCGAUUGGUGAAAGCAGCAAUGCGCCGAAAGGGUNCCUCGCGGCCUAUCAGCUAGUUGGUGGGUAAUGGCUCACCAAGGCGACGACGGGUAGCUGGU
rnacentral:rRNA from 1 species